rnacentral:lncRNA from 1 species
GUGAGUAUCUCACAGGCCUCACAUCAUUUGCAAGGCAGUGCCUUUCGUGCCUCCAAACACAAAGAGUUGGGUUUCCUAGAAGCCUGUCAGGCAAUUAGCAAUUCUGAUACUGGACCUGAUGGCCACACCACAGUUUGAUCAAAUCCUUCCCUUCAUCCUGAUCAGUUGGUGAUGCUCUCAACAAGUGUUGCUUGAACUGAUAAAUAAGAAACUAAAGAAACCAGUCUUUACCUUGCUUCCUUGCUGAACCUGAUUCUUACAACUUACCUGAAACGUCUUCCAACCCCAUGUAUAUUUGCCUCCUGUUUCUCUAGAUGCACGAUUUAAAAUUCAGUCCUUCACAACAGCUCCAUUUCACAUUUUAGUGUUUAGGUUUUCAACUAUUGGGAACCCAGCCUUGCUUACAUGCUAGGCAACCGAUAUACUAUCCAUCCAUAGUCUCAACUUCCUGGUUUUAAGUAGCCACAUGGCCUGUUUGAAUGGCUGAAGUCAACAUUCAUUUCAGUAGUCACAGAAAGCUCUAUCUGAGAGUGUGGCUUUGGGUCUGCGACAAGAUUGGGGUUUAAAAUAGUUUAGAUGUUACUUUCAGAAUGAGGCCCUGUCAGGGCAGACUUUGAUAAUGGUUAUAUCUUUGACACUCCCGAGUGUUUUAACAGAGUUUUGUGAAUUAGUGAUUUGAUAACUGCACAUGGCUUGUUUCUGUGGAAAUCCUGUGGCAGCACCAUGAUUCGGCCAUUUUGUGAGGAUGGCCUUCUGUCCUUGGUCAGCUCCCUAGCUCUCCCUCUAAAAGUCCCACUGGGCAUCAUCAGCUUAAUUACCUACAAAGCCUACAUAGAAGAGAGGCGACAGAGCCUCUCUCUUCUGAACAUCCUCAGAGAACACUGUUGACUAAAAGCAAGCCUUUGAAGCAGAGUUGAUAGAGAAAACAAGGCAAAGCAGGAUGCUCUGAACCUGCUCUGUCUCUGUGGGAGCUCAUUAAACAAUGCACGGCACUGCCUCCAUAAGCAUCUGAUGUGUGAGAUGUUUUGAAGUGGAUGUUAAAAGCCUUCUCUCGUCCUGAGAGCUUUCCCUAGAAGAAAGAACUAUGUGGGCAGAUGUCAGAGCUUAUGAAUAUAGUUUUUCCUUCUGAACACUUUGGCUUAGACUACUUUUCAGAGCAGCUGAGGCCAGCCCAUCCAGAAAAAGACACAUCUAAUUUUGAAGAAACCACCUAGGGUAUUCUGUGAAAACUAAUGAAACAGCUCAUUGGAAGUCCUGCACUGUAAAUAGAGAAGCAAAUGCGGCACAGCAGUGACAACCUCUCUGAUCAACCAACACCAGCCUGACCAAGCCCCAACAGUACUAUAGGUGCCAGUUUCAGCUUCUGUCCAUAACCUCCUUGAAUGACACUCAAGCCAUUCCUUCCAAAGAUGGCCAAUGAGAAGGUGCCUCACUCUGCCCCAGAAUAAGAGGCAAAACUCUUUAGUAAGUCCCAGAAGGAUUUCCUGUUUGAUCUUAGUUUUGUAGGUUAGUGGUCAUUGGGAUCCUUAUAAGCUGAAUUCACUGUCCCUCAAUUAAAAUUCCUAAUUUCUCUACUGUUUUGGUCACUUCUGCUACAGAACAAACCACCUAGAAUAACCUUUUUUUUUAGUUACUGUGUCUUAUAAUUCUGUGAGAUGAUGGACUCUACUGGAAAGUUCUGCUGGUGUCUCUAAAGAAAGAAAAGAAUAUGUUCAGUCAGGGAAGGAGGCUCAGUCAAUAAAGCUUUUGUACAAGUAUAAGGACCUGAGUCCCCAUCCCUAGCACACUUGUGAAAGCUGAGUGCAGCAGUGCACACCUGUACCCCAGCACUGAGGAUCAAGGUCAGGCUGCAGAGACUGGCAGAUCCCUGGAGCUCACUGGGAGGUCAGCCUCACUGAAUCAGUGAGGGCAGGAACAGUGAGAGGUCUUGCCUCAGAGAACAAGGCAGAGAGCAACUGAGGAAGACAUCUGAUAUCUCCCUCUGCCCUCUACAUGCAUAAGGACACAUGUGCAACACACACACACACCAGAACAUGUGUCAAUAUAUUCUACUUUAAGAGAUAAUCAAGCAUACAAGAACAUUAAAACAUAAUCUAUCAGGCUAUUACUUCCAUUUAGAUCAUUCUUUCAUUGGUAGGAAAAUGUCUUUCAUCCUUUACAAUUCUAUCAACAAUAUUUUCUUUCUCAACCCCAAGUCUGUAACCAUUCUACCAACAUUUUCUCUUAACCUUACUAAAGAUUCUUUCUUAUAAUUAUAAUAAAUAUAUUUUACUAAAAUAUUAUUUCCUCUGGUCUCAUAUUAACUCCUUACACUCAUAUUUCCUUUCACAGAGAAGAGAUUACCAAUGCUUCUCUUAAACAAAAAGUAUUUUCAGAACAUGGAAUCAUGUUUUUACUUCUGUCUCAGAGGGGAGACAGUGGAUCAUGACAGGGGACACAUGACAGCAGGAGGAAGAGGCUCACCUGGCAGUCAGGAAGGUGACUGAUCACAUUUCAUCACCAUGCAAGAAGCUGAGAGAGAGAAUAGGAAGUGGGACUAUAAUAUGAGUGUCAAAGUUCAUCUUUACUUAUGUACUUCCUCCAGUGAGGCCCCACCCCCUAAGGUUCCACAACCUCCCCAAAUACCAGCACCAGCUGGAGAUCAAGCGUUUAUGUGUAUGAGCCUGUGGGGGUAAUUUUAUAUUCAAACCACAAGUUCCUACCUGGUCCCACAGUCUUGAGGCCAUUUCAUAAUACAAAAUGCAUUUAGUCCAAUUUCAAUAGUCCUAUAGUCUUUAAAAUAGCAACACUGUUCAAAUGCCCAAAGUCUUUCUAAGACUCAAGGUAAACCCUUACUGUAAACUGUAAAACC